UACGUAGGGGGCAAGCGUUGUCCGGAUUUAUUGGGCGUAAAGCGCUCGCAGGUGGUCCGAUGCGUCGUGCGUGAAAGACCCCGGCUCAACUGGGGGGUGUCGUGCGAUACGGUCGGACUGGAGGCCAGUAGGGGGAUGCGGAAUUCCGGGUGUAGCGGUGGAAUGCGUAGAGAUCCGGAAGGAACACCAGCGGCGAAGGCGGCUCCGUGGUCCAGCACCGACGUCAGGCA
rnacentral:rRNA from 1 species